UACCAAAUAAUAUAUUCCUCAAAACUUCUUAAUGGCACUGAGGCUUUGUGGAUAGUUGGUCACAUGAUGAGAAAAUUCAGCUAAAAUACAUACAAUAUAUCCAUUAGGGAUUUCAUUAUUCUUGGAUAAUUCACCACGAGAACCUGGAGUCCUUCAGCACUGCUGUUAGAUCAUGGACAAGGAUAAAAGUUCACCUAUUUGUGCAAGGAGCGCUGGUACCCUGAUUACACUAUGUGACUCUCCACACAGAAGGCUGGUUCCAGCACCAGCAAUGCACUUUUCCCUUGACUUCCAGCUCCACCACGUGCUCCUCAGGUUGACUUUACCUGCAGCGCUGAGCUACUGUGACAGUACGGCUUUUGUGACUUGCGUCGAGCAGGAAGCUUUCAAAGCCACGUGCCAAAGUAACAGUAGGAGCUCAGAACUCCCCGCUCGAUUUUCUGCGCAAAUAGAAACACCUGGACUUCAAAACAGCAACGCGCUUUGAAGCCACCCCGAGCCAUUAACACAUUAAAAACUCCGUGCGCUGCCGAGCAGGGGCGGGCGGUUCGCUAAAUCCCGCAGUAAGCCGGUGCCUGCUCUGGGGAGAAUUUUGCAUCGCUGCCUAAACUUGCAACAAGUUUAAAAAGUGUAAAAACCACUUUUUGAUCUUUGGUACGGCUUUGCAGCGGGUAAGUAGCGCUGUUAUACUUCCACGGGGUUAAAAGAAAAGGGGAAAAAAAAAAGGGGGGGGGGGGAACCACAUUUUUGCUGUUUUCCCGUACCCCGAGCUUGGAAGCACCAGCGCGGGGCGCGCCAACCGCGGACGCGCGCCGGCGCGCGCGGAGCGUGACAGCCGCGCACAGAGCGGGGGGAGGGAGAGAAGUGGGCGGGGCCUCGGCGUCCCAUUGGCCAGGCGCGCUGUCGCUCAGGCAACGUCACAAUACGGCUGGGGCAGCACUGUAAACACUCGGUGGCGCGGGUGUGUGUGCGCGCGGGGGCGCGCCUUUCUCCGAGCCCGAGCCGGGGUGGGGGGGAAAUGCGCGCCCCCGAAAAGGGAGGAUGCGCGCCCCCGGCGUGUCGGGUGCGCGCACGCUAAGGUAGCAUCGCUACAGAAGGGAUGAUGUAAUUCUCCCUCCGCGGGGGGUGGGGGGGGUGUUUGGGACACGCGUGAUCGUGACCGGCAUCCCCCCCCCUCCCUCCCACGGAGCGCGGCAAGAGGAGGAAGAGAAGGGGGAAGACGCAUAAACACCCCCACCCCCCGAUAAAAGCACCCCCGAGAGGCGUGGGAGCUGCGCGUGGGGGCGCGGGGCUGCGCGUGGGGAGCGGGGCUCGGCCCGCGGUGCGGUGCGGUGCGGCGGGCGGGGAGCGCCUCCCGCCUCCCCCCGGCCCUCCCCGCCCGGCACUUACUGUCAGCGGGGGAAGCCCGGCGCCGAGCCGCUCCGCCGCUCGCAGGACGGUGCCAGCGCAGCAGACAACGAGGAAUCAAAAAAUAAUCGCGCACGGAU
ensembl:lncRNA